CUCCACGCUUCCUGCUUCCACCAUGAAGCCGCUGGUACGGUGAGGCAUGACCGCGCUACUGGCAAUCCCCAGCCCUGGGCCCUUUGGCUUAAGGAGGUGCAACCCUGAUUGGCAGCCAUGGGGCUUAGAGCACCCACUAGGUUCACAAUGAUCGUGACCCCUUAGGCUUCUAAGGCAUAAAUUAUAGUUGGGGGAGGUGGGAGUCCCAGCCGCCCUGGCUGCCCCGUCUCUCCUAACCUGCCCUGCCCUGCACACUUCAGGCCAAAACAAACCAGAUUCCAGGGCAGGCUGGGGCUCAUGGGCUGUACUUCCUUCAGCUUCCCAUCCAAUUCCCCCAGGGUUCAAAGAAGAAAAUUCGCCACAAGCACAGAAUUCUUUCAAGUCCCAGUUUUUAAAUUCAUGUGCACGCUGCCUUCUGCUCGGUAAAUCCAAAGGGAUGCAGACCAGAGCUAAUGCAGAGACCCCAUGGUGUCCACAAGAAACUGAGCUUCUUUCUUUUUUCUCUACUUUUGUCAGUAUUUGGCUUUUAUCUUCUUGGACCCAAUAUAUACUGGGCACAGCAUCUUUUUUUUUUUUUUUUUUUGAGACGGAGUCUCGCUCUGUCGCCCAGGCUGGAGUGCAGUGGCGCGAUCUCGG
rnacentral:lncRNA from 1 species